UACGGGGGGGGCAAGCGUUGUUCGGAAUUACUGGGCGUAAAGGGCUCGUAGGCGGCCAACUAAGUCAUACGUGAAAUCCCUCGGCUUAACCGGGGAACUGCGUCUGAUACUGGAUGGCUUGAGUUCGGGAGAGGGAUGCGGAAUUCCAGGUGUAGCGGUGAAAUGCGUAGAUAUCUGGAGGAACACCAGAGGCGAAAGCGGCGACCUGGACAGGUACUGACACUCAACUACGAAAGCGUGGGGAGCAAACAGG
rnacentral:rRNA from 1 species